rnacentral:lncRNA from 1 species
AUAAAAUACUCAAAAAUCUAUUUUAGGAAAGUUUUCAUUUUCAUUGGGAAAUAUUUUAAAUUUGAGGUUGUGAUUUAGAAAUUGAGAUAACAAGAAUUUUUUGUUGAUAAAUGAGUAUUUUUUAGAAUUUUUUUAUCAAUUUGUUGUAUUUUUUAUAUAAAAUACUCAAAAAUCUAUUUUAGGAAAGUUUUCAUUUUCAUU